rnacentral:rRNA from 1 species
GAGUAAAGAUUUCGGUCGCUCUGGGAGGAGCUCGCUUACUAUCAGCUUGUUGGUAGGGUAAUGGCCUACCAAGGCUAUGACGGUUAGGGGGUGUGAGAGCAUGACCCCCAGCAUUGGCACUGAAACACUGGCCAAACACCUACGGGUGGCUGCAGUCGAGAAUCUUCCACAAUGGGGGAAACCCUGAUGGAGCGAUGCUGCGUGCGGGAUGAAGGCCUUCGGGUUGUAAACCGCUUUUGUAGGGGACGAAAUUUUUGACGGUACCCUUUCGAAUAAGAGGUUGCUAACUCUGUGCCAGCAGCAGCGGUAAUACAGAGACCUCAAGCGUUAUCCGGAUUUACUGGGCGUAAAGCGUCUGUAGGGGGUUUAUUAAGUUCCAAGUAAAAUUUCAAGGCUCAACUUUGAAUUCGCUUGGAAAACUAAUAAACUGGAGUCUAGCAGAGGUGCAUGGAACUUGUGGUGUAGGAGUGAAAUCCGUUGAUAUCACAAGGAACACCAAAGGCGAAGGCAUUGCACUGGGCUAGCACUGACCCUGAGAGACGAAAGCGUGGGGAGCAAAACGGAUUAGAUACCCGUGUAGUCCACGCCCUAAACGAUGAAUGCUAAAUGUUCGGGGAUUCGACCCCCUGGGUGUUACAGCUAACGCGUUAAGCAUUCCGCCUGGGAAGUACGGCCGCAAGGCUAAAACUCAAAGGAAUAGACGGGGAUCCGCACAAGCGGUGGAGCGUCUGGUUUAAUUCGACAGUAAGCGUGGUACCUCACCAGGGUUUGACAUCCCUUGACAGCCUUGGAAACAAGGUUUCCUUCGGGCAAGGUGACAGGUGCUGCAUGGUCGUCGUCAGUUCGUGCCGUGAGGUGUUCCGUUAAGUCGGGAAACGAACGAAACCCCUAUUGCAUGUUACAAUUUCUCAUGCAAGACUGCCCGGAUAUACUGGGAGGAAGGUGGGGAUGACGUCAGAUCUGCAUGGUCCUUAUACCCUGGGCGACACAGGCGCUACAAUGGCAGAGACAAAGGGUUGCAAAACCGCAAGGUGAAGCUAAUCCCAAAAACUUUGUCUAAGUUCGGAUUGAAGGCUGCAAUUCGCCUUCAUGAAGCUGGAAUCGCUAGUAAUCGUGAAUCAGCCACGUCACGGUGAAUAUGUUCCCGGAUCUUGUACUCACCGCCCGUCACACCAAGAGAGUUGGUAGCUCCCGAAG